AACGAACGCUGGCGGCAGGCCUAACACAUGCAAGUCGAGCGCCCGGAUUUAUCCGGGAGGGCGUACGGGUGAGUAACGCGUGGGAACAUGCCCUGAAGUACGGAACAACCUGGGGAAACCUUGGCUAAUACCGUAUACGCCCUGAGGGGGAAAGAUUUAUCGCUUUGGGAUUGGCCCGCGUUGGAUUAGCUGGUUGGUGUGGUAACGGCGCACCAAGGCGACGAUCCAUAACUGGUCUGAGAGGAUGACCAGUCACACUGGGACUGAGACACGGCCCAGACUCCUACGGGAGGCAGCAGUGGGGAAUACUGGACAAUGGGCGAAAGCCUGAUCCAGCCAUGCCGCGUGAGUGAAGAAGGCCUUCGGGUUGUAAAGCUCUUUCAGCGGGGACGAUGAUGACGGUACCCGCAGAAGAAGCCCCGGCUAACUUCGUGCCAGCAGCCGCGGUAA
rnacentral:rRNA from 1 species